rnacentral:lncRNA from 1 species
CCUGGCUCCAUCCCUGUCUACCAUUUUGGAAGCAGUGAAGAAAAGGGUGAGGUAGCUACAUUGUAGUGUGAUGCUUUCAAUCUAAAGGUCUUUGAAUAGAAAGGAUAACUCUUUGGGGUGAAGGGUAAAAAUGUCAUUGCAAGAAGAAGAGGAGGGAAGAACAACAAGCAUCAUGUCAUCAUCAUCGGUAUCCAUUGUUGCUGCAAAAAGCCUUGUUUGUUGCUUUAUUGUUUCUCUCUCUAGGAUUUUAGAGAGAGGGAGAGGUUUUUUU